rnacentral:rRNA from 1 species
UACGGAGGGAGCUAGCGUUAUUCGGAAUUACUGGGCGUAAAGCGCACGUAGGCGGCUUUGUAAGUUAGAGGUGAAAGCCUGGAGCUCAACUCCAGAAUUGCCUUUAAGACUGCAUCGCUUGAAUCCAGGAGAGGUGAGUGGAAUUCCGAGUGUAGAGGUGAAAUUCGUAGAUAUUCGGAAGAACACCAGUGGCGAAGGCGGCUCACUGGACUGGUAGUUGACGCUGAGGUGCGAAAGCGUGGGGAGC